GGUGGCUCAAUGGUAGAGUGCGUGCCUUGCAUGCAUAAGGCCCUGGGUUCGAUUCCUCAGCACCA
rnacentral:tRNA from 1 species